UUGAAGAAGUUUCAACAUGGCUGGGAAAUUGUCAUUGCUAAAACAUUGUCUUCUUCACCACUAUUUUCAUGGUUAUGGCAGAUCUGCAAGUGAUGGCGUUACGAGAUUUGCCUCAAGAUGAAUUGAUGAUGAAAAAUAAAUUACUUCCACUUAGAGAUUUCAUAACUUGUGACAGAAAUUGUGAUACUGACAGUGAUCGUUCUGAUGGCUGGAUUUGUAGUUCAUGCAAAUAUGUUCCAGUUGUUAUACCGCCACGAAUACCUUAUCCCUAUGAGCGGCGAUGCAAUGCCUAAAAAUACUAUCUUAAUUAUAAAGUAUUAUGCAAUUCAAGAGUGAAUAAUGUGAGUUGAUGCUAUAUAAAUUGAUUUCUGUAAAUUGAACUAUAUGACUAUUACAUUA